rnacentral:rRNA from 1 species
UUUGCCGAUGCCAGAUGCGAGGUAAGGUUAACUAUAGACUUUAUGUCGUAUCGAAAAGCAUGGAUCGUUUUAUUGGCCUGAUUCGGCCACAUAUCCAUCCUUGCUUUCAAUAUAAAAUUCGUGAUCUGAAAGCAAGCCAGCAGCAGCGGUAAUACGUAGGCCCCGAGCGUUAUCCGGAAUUAUUGGGCGUAAAGUGCGCGUAGGUGUUUUUGUAAGUCGGUCGUUAAAUCUCACAGCUCAACUGCGAGACCGCGAGCGAUACUACAAGAAUUGAGUUUUGCAGGGGCUAGCAGAAUUUCUGGAGUAGAGGUGAAAUUCGUUGAUACCAGAAGGAAUACCAAUGGCGAAGGCAGCUAGCUGGGCAAUAACUGACACUGAGAGCGCGAAAGCGUGGGGAGCAAACGGGAUCGAUGGUAUCUGGUCCCCCGGUACGGUGACGUAUCGGUAAAUCUAGUUACCUGGGUACGAUUUUCAUUAGAAAAUCGGAAUCCAGAAGACUGGACUUGCGAGCAAUCGCAAGAAUCUGGCUAUAUGCUGGAAUCUCUGGUGUACUUAAGGAGCAAUCCAACAAGUGCUUCUGUCGCAAGACAGGAACCAGACAAUCAGCAGGAAACCGUUACUGAUAUGAUAAAAGUAAUGGGAUCCUCAGAGACUACACGCCAGAUGACUCACAUGAACCAGAAACUAGCUAUGCUGUUAGGAUUUCUCUAUACAGAUGGCUGUGUUUCUCCAAAAGGGAAAAGUUGGCGAAUCUAUUUUGCCGUAAAAUCUCAAGAAUUAGUCGAACUGUUUCGGGAUUGCGUAGUAACAACUUUCGCAAUCGAUCCGAAUCGAGUUCGAGUGAGAGUUAGAACUUCAGGCUUAACGGCCGCUGUCGUUGACUCAAAGUCUAUCGGCACCUACCUUACGACACGAUUCGGAACAUUCCGAACCUUGAAGUUUGAGAAUGGUGACUUACCGAAGGCGAGUCUGCCCGUAUCCGCUCUGAAAAAGAGUGGCUAUGUGGCUGACUUCUUGAGAGUCGCGUUCAGCUGUGACGGAGGCGUUAGCUUCUAUCCGGCAUCGAGAAACAGCAAAAAUGGAAAAACCAAAUGGUUGAUUAGAACGGUUUUUAUCUCUUGUGCGCAUCCACAGUUACGAUCUGAUUAUCUAGCUUUGUUAAAAAGUCUGGGUAUCUAUGUUCGCAAUGUAGCAAAGGAUGGCAAGCUUAAGAUUGAGCGAGAACGAGAUAUUCGUCUCUUCGCUAAAAAAAUCGGCUUCGUAAAUGGAGUGAAAGCAACGCUAGACUCCAAGUUCUGGAGUGGAUACGAGAAAAAUGAAGUUCUACGGAUCCUCAUCAACUCGUACGGCCAUCCAGCAACAAUCUAUCAACUACCCAAAUUCAGUGAGUCAAUGAUAUAGUCCGACCUCUGCAGCGAUGCAGAGAGAUGCGACAAUUACCGCAAGUCGUGUCCAUCGAAAGAUGUAACAAUAUUGUAGAUACCCCGGUAGUCCACGCCCUAAACUAUGUCUACUAGCGAUAGGAAGAGUCGACCCUUUCUGUCGCGAAGCUAACGCGUCAAGUAGACCGCCUGGGAAGUACGAUCGCAAGAUUAAAACUCAAAUGAAUUGGCGGGGGCUCGCACAAGUGGUGGAGCAUGUGGUUUAAUUCGACAGUAAGCGAAAACCUUAUCCCAGAUUUGACAUCUAAGGAAUCCCCAAGAAACUGGGGAGUGCCCGUAAGGGAAUCUUAAGACAGGUAUUGCACGGUCGUCGUCAGUUCGUGCUGUGAAGUGUGAGGUUAAGUCCUUAAACGAACGAAACCCUUGUCCUAUGUUGGAUUUUCAUAGGAGACUGCCCUGGUAACAGGGAGGAAGGUGGGGAUGACGUCAGAUCCGCGUGGUCUUUAUGUCUGGGGCUACACACGUGCUACAAUCCUAUCGACAAUGGGUCGCCAAGCCGCAAGGCGGAGCUAAUCCCAUCAAAAGAUAGGUCAGUUCGGAUUGGAGUCUGCAACUCGACUCCAUGAAGUUGGAAUCACUAGUAAUCGUGGAUCAGAACGCCACGGUGAAUACGUUCUCGAGCCUUGCACACAACAAUAACUGCGCCAGGUAGUAUAUUUUUCAAGGGGGUUAAAAUCCCUCCUAG